GUGGGGAAUAUUGGACAAUGGGCGAAAGCCUGAUCCAGCCAUGCCGCGUGUGUGAAGAAGGUCUUCGGAUUGUAAAGCACUUUAAGUUGGGAGGAAGGGCAGUAAGUUAAUACCUUGCUGUUUUGACGUUACCAACAGAAUAAGCACCGGCUAACUUCGUGCCAGCAGCCGCGGUAAUACGAAGGGUGCAAGCGUUAAUCGGAAUUACUGGGCGUAAAGCGCGCGUAGGUGGUUCAGCAAGUUGAAGGUGAAAUCCCCGGGCUCAACCUGGGAACUGCCUACAAAACUACUGAGCUAGAGUACGGUAGAGGGUAGUGGAAUUUCCUGUGUAGCGGUGAAAUGCGUAGAUAUAGGAAGGAACACCAGUGGCGAAGGCGACUACCUGGACUGAUACUGACACUGAGGUGCGAAAGCGUGGGGAGCAAACAGGAUUAGAAACCCGGGUAGUCC
rnacentral:rRNA from 1 species